rnacentral:rRNA from 1 species
GACGAACGCUGGCGGCGUGCCUAAUACAUGCAAGUAGGACGCACAGUUUAUACCGUAGCUUGCUACACCAUAGACUGUGAGUUGCGAACGGGUGAGUAACGCGUAGGUAACCUACCUAUUAGAGGGGGAUAACUAUUGGAAACGAUAGCUAAUACCGCAUAACAGUAUGUAACACAUGUUAGAUGCUUGAAAGAUGCAAUUGCAUCGCUAGUAGAUGGACCUGCGUUGUAUUAGCUAGUAGGUAGGGUAAAGGCCUACCUAGGCAACGAUACAUAGCCGACCUGAGAGGGUGAUCGGCCACACUGGGACUGAGACACGGCCCAGACUCCUACGGGAGGCAGCAGUAGGGAAUCUUCGGCAAUGGGGGGAACCCUGACCGAGCAACGCCGCGUGAGUGAAGAAGGUUUUCGGAUCGUAAAGCUCUGUUGUUAAGGAAGAACGAGUGUGAGAAUGGAAAGUUCAUGCUGGACGGACUAACCAAAAGGC